ensembl:lncRNA
AUGACAGCCGUGUGUCUGUCUGAAGGAAGUGGUGGUGUGCGCCCACAGUCUGGAGAUGAACGUGACGUCCAGCCUGGAGCUGUUUCUGAGCACAGAUCAGGUGCAGUUACUGCAGCAGCUCCUGCAGACCAACGUGAUUCUAACGAGCGCAGACGACACCGCAGCAGAUAUCAUCUGGAUGUGUGUCCAGGUGUGCAGUCAUUAGCCGCAGUUGGCCGCGGUCUCGGUUCGGUGGAGAGUUUGUGUGGCAGCAGCGCCCCCUGCGGGCAGGAGAGUGGGUUUGGCAGUGACAGCUCUCAUCUGCGGAUCGUUCUGAUCGAGGGGCAGAGUGGCACCGGCAGUCGCAGCAGCCCACCAUCACCAAGAACCUCAACUUCAUCAAAGUGUUCCUCACUGCCUGCAGCAUCUCUCUCAUGACAUACGUGACCACACCUGCCUCCAAACCCCCGCCGACGCCCCCCCGGAGGGCCAGGUGCUUCGGGCCAGGGCUCUUUCCUCACUGACGGCCGAGGAUCUGCUCAACGCAAACGCUGUGGGCGGGUCGACGGGGGUCCUGGGGGGCCGCUCGUGGUGAGACAGACGACCUCACGCUGAAGAGAGUCGCCACCAACUACAAGAGUCUGGGUGAGUGACGCUUCACACGCUGCACUACAGAUACAGCAGGGCUCAACGCUAAGGAGUUUUUCUACUGGCCCGGUUGCCCUGCCAAUACAGUGGUGACCAAAAUGAUUAAAACACUAGUAUUUUCAGCAGCUAAAAAUGGUUUUAAGUCAAUUAUUUCUUUAUUUUGCUGUAGUAUGUCAGUAGGAGGGCUCUUCGGCUCUUCUUCAUGAGUGUUUGAGUGUGUGGAUAAAAACUAGAGUGGCGCGUCAUCUGCUGUUAAAAUAUAGACUCAGAAUCUCUUCCAGAGAGAAUUCAGAAUGCAUUCAGAAGAUCUCAGAAUCAGAAUCUCAGAAUCGGUGCAGCCUCAGUGUGUGUGUGUGUGUUUUUUUCUUGAUUGGGCCUUACCCACAAUGCACUGCAGCAGAUAAUCAGAGCGUUUGUUUUAUUUAUGCCGCCCGGAAAUCCAGUUAAUCUCCCUAAGCUUUUAACAGGGCUGAGCAGAUCCACAGGAAGUGGGUUCCCAUCUGUCCCGCAGGGCAGCAGGAGACACAGAUCUGAUGUCAGGAGCCUCUCCCAUGAUGCACUGCUGUGCUUACCAGGCCCAUAUGAAGAUGAUGUUGCCGGGGGGCCUGAAGAAGACUUAAAAUUACUCAAAAUAAGGCAAAACAUGCAUUAAAAUAAGUUCAAACAGCUAAAACUCAAUGAUAUUUCUUAUUUUAAUUUACCCCCUCAACAACUGUCUGUUGUUUCAGAAGAGCCAGGAUUCUUCCAAAGCACUCAUUUUAAAAGUGAUUUCUAAGUCAUGGAAAUUCUGAAAAUGCAGUGGCCAAUUUUAGAAUUAAUCAAUAAAAUAUUAUAAAAAUCUUAAUAUUAUUAUAAA